rnacentral:lncRNA from 1 species
UGAGCCACUUUAGUAGCCGAAGUAGAGACACAAUUAAUGUGUUGGGUCUUAAAAAUGUGGCAGGCCCUUCGAAGUCCUCUAAUAAUGCUGGUGGGUUAGAUAAUGGGCUGGUUUCGUCUAGCAACCUGGUAAUUGACCCAAGAACAACUUUUAAUGGGGCAUUCAAAGGCCUAAGGGGAAGUAGCUUGCUGAAAGAUAGCACAUCGGGACAAGAAAACAGGUCGAAUAGUGGG